CUUGUGUAGACAACUAUUUAUUUUGAUUAUGUCAUUCUCCCUAGUAGUUGAGGCACUUCAUGCAUUCAUACAAGAUGAAUCAGAGCACAAGUGAUUGCUAUUGGUGUCUUUAGUAAUAUGGUGCUAUCCAAUUGGCAAACCUCAUGAGUAGUAGAAGCAGCAGUCAAGAGGGAAAGAACCAUGGCAUAUGCCUUCUCUCAUCAGUGGAGGGCCUGCUCUAGCCAAGGCCUAGGUAAUUAUGAACUACUUGGCAAGGCUAGUUGGAGUUGGAGCUAGAAGGAUCGUUGGGUUGCUGCACUGCCCACAUUCAAUUAUGUAUGUUCUAAGCUCUCUCUAAGAUCUAAACAUUUACCUACAAUUGAAGAUGAUAGAUACAUAUUAAAGACUUUUACCUACAGUUAGGAGAUGUAAGUAGAAGUUAAUGACUUUUACCUACACACUAUACAUAGUAGGUAAAACCUAUAGUGACAAACAAUUAGCCGUCAUUAUACACCCCCUCAAAGUUGACGGAAGAAACGUCCGUAGGACAAAGUCUAUCAUACAUUUACCUACGGAUUUUUUAUUUAUAGUGGCAGUUUUUGUCUGUAGGUA